GUGGGGAAUAUUGGACAAUGGGCGCAAGCCUGAUCCAGCCAUGCCGCGUGUGUGAAGAAGGCCUUCGGGUUGUAAAGCACUUUUGUCCGGGAAGAAAUCUUCCAGGUUAAUACCCUGGGAGGCUGACGGUACCGGAAGAAUAAGCACCGGCUAACUUCGUGCCAGCAGCCGCGGUAAUACGAAGGGUGCAAGCGUUACUCGGAAUUACUGGGCGUAAAGCGUGCGUAGGUGGUUCGUUAAGUCUGCCGUGAAAGCCCCGGGCUCAACCUGGGAAUGGCGGUGGAUACUGGCGGGCUAGAGUGCGGUAGAGGGUGGUGGAAUUCCCGGUGUAGCGGUGAAAUGCGUAGAGAUCGGGAGGAACAUCCGUGGCGAAGGCGGCCAUCUGGACCAGCACUGACACUGAGGCACGAAAGCGUGGGGAGCAAACAGGAUUAGAAACCCGAGUAGUCC
rnacentral:rRNA from 1 species